rnacentral:lncRNA from 1 species
UGUUUUUUGAGAACCUAAUCAUAAAUUUUUUCUCAAGGCCCAUGUCCAGAAUGGUGUUACUGAGGUUUUUUUUUUCCCUAGGAUUCUUAUAGUUUGAGGUCUUAUAUUUAAAUCUUUAAUCCACCUUGAGUUAGUGUUUGUGUAUGGUGAAAGGAAAGGGUCCAGUUUCAUUCGAAUUCUUCCUUUCCUAUUUGGAUGCCUUUUAUAUCUUUAUAUUCCUUGAUUGCUCUGGCUAGCACUUCCAGUACUAUGUUUAAUAGGGGUGCUGAGAGAGGGCAUCCUUGUCUUGUUCCAGGGGAAUGCUUUCAGUUUUUGCCCUUUCACUUGGCUGUGUGUUUAACAUAGAUAGCUCUUAUUAUAUCAAAAGCUUUUUAUCAAAAGCAUCUACUGAGAUGAUCAUA